UUACAUUCACAAAAUGAUGAUUACUUGGUUUGAACUUUAGGCCAAUCCACUUACCAUGUUGGCGGGACAAUUACAUUUAGUCAUGUGAUUAGCUAGAUGUCCAUUAGCUGGCCAUUAAUUUUGACUUAUAGCCUACCCAAUGAGUAGAUUGGCCCAAUUUCUAUAACAAGUUUCAUGGUAUGUGACUCACCUUUUGCAUGUAUUGAAUAUUUUGCAAAUGCAACUCUGGUGGGAAAAAAUGCAGAAUGUGAAAGUUCAUAUACAGUUGCUGUAUGUGAUGAUUUUGCGAACGCAACUCUGCCAUCCAAUCAUGUGCAAGGAAAAUCUAUGUAUUAAGUGCAACCUGCCUGAUGGACCAUGAAUUAUAAUCACCAGACCAAAUUUAACAUGUUAGUCACUUGUAUGCAUAUGCAACUAGAUUGUCAUGUGUACAGUGCGCAUAUAGAUGAACAUGUGGAUAAAAUACAUGCAUGCUUGUCGGUGCUUCCUGGUGAAAGGGUUGAAGGCCUGAUUUCUCCUACAGGGAACCGACAUCUCUACAAGGGCGAAUAAUUUAAAAGGUGGGGGAAGCUUGUGAGGUGGGCCACAACAUGGAGGAAGCACAUUUACUACAUGCUCAACAAGGAAUUCCAAUAUCGGAAUAUGGGGUAAGUUGUUAUAAUUUCUCUGGUUGGUUUUCUGAACUGCUGGUACCAAUAUAGGAAUAUCAGUUUAAUUCAUAAUAUUGUUUCAUGCAUCAGAAAAAUCAGCACAAGCCUAUAAAUGGGCUGAACCCCAAUUGGAAAUAGUUAAAGUUGAGAGUUAAUUGCUACAGAUUUGCUGUUUCUUUCUUUUACUAAAUAUGCUCGUAUUAUGGUUGUAGUAUAGAUAUUUUUUACUUUAUGAAGAAAUUCAGUGUUGUAGGAUUAGUUUGAAAAGCUUUCAGCAGGGUCUUAGAAUUUGUAGUAUAGAUAUUUUUUACUUUAUUGUGGAUGGAGCACAUACUGGAAAGCACGCUGAUUAGAAA